UACGAAGGGGGCUAGCGUUGCUCGGAAUGACUGGGCGUAAAGGGCGCGUAGGCGGACGGCUUUGUCGGGCGUGAAAUUCCAGGGCUUAACCUUGGGGCUGCGUUCGAGACGGGUGAUCUUGAGUUCGGAAGAGGGUCGUGGAAUUCCCAGUGUAGAGGUGAAAUUCGUAGAUAUUGGGAAGAACACCGGUGGCGAAGGCGGCGACCUGGUCCGAGACUGACGCUGAGGCGCGAAAGCGUGGGGAGCAAACAGG
rnacentral:rRNA from 1 species